rnacentral:rRNA from 1 species
UACGUAGGGGGCAAGCGUUGUCCAGAUUUAUUGGGCGUAAAGAGCGUGUAGGCGGCCAUGCAGGUCCGUUGUGAAAACUCGAGGCUCAACCUCGAGACGCCGAUGGAAACCGCAUGGCUAGAGUCCGGAAGAGGAGAGUGGAAUUCCUGGUGUAGCGGUGAAAUGCGCAGAUAUCAGGAAGAACACCCGUGGCUAAGGCGGCUCUCUAGUACGGUACUGACGCUGAGACGCGAAAGCGUGGGGAGCGAACAGG